GCGGCCUAUCAGCUUGUUGGUGAGGUAACGGCCCACCAAGGCUUCGACGGGUAGCCGGCCUGAGAGGGUGACCGGCCACACUGGGACUGAGACACGGCCCAGACUCCUACGGGAGGCAGCAGUGGGGAAUAUUGGACAAUGGGCGAAAGCCUGAUCCAGCAACGCCGCGUGAGGGAUGACGGCCUUCGGGUUGUAAACCUCUUUCAGUACCGACGAAGCGCCUGUAAGGGUGGUGACGGUAGGUACAGAAGAAGGACCGGCCAACUACGUGCCAGCAGCCGCGGUAAUACGUAGGGUCCGAGCGUUGUCCGGAAUUAUUGGGCGUAAAGGGCUCGUAGGCGGUCUGUCGCGUCGGGAGUGAAAUUUUACAGCUUAACUGUGAACGUGCUUUCGAUACGGGCAGACUUGAGGUAUUCAGGGGAGAACGGAAUUCCUGGUGUAGCGGUGAAAUGCGCAGAUAUCAGGAGGAACACCGGUGGCGAAGGCGGUUCUCUGGGAAUAUCCUGACGCUGAGGAGCGAAAGUGUGGGGAGCGAACAGGAUUAGAUACCCUGGUAGUCCACACCGUAAACGCUGGGCGCUAGGUGUGGGAUCCAUUCCACGGGUUCCGUGCCGCAGCUAACGCAUUAAGCGCCCCGCCUGGGGAGUACGG
rnacentral:rRNA from 1 species